AGGGGUGUAGCUCAAUUGGUAGAGCAACGGUCUCCAAAACCGUAGGUCGUGGGUUCAAAUCCUGCCACCCCUGCCA
rnacentral:tRNA from 1 species